rnacentral:rRNA from 1 species
UACGUAGGGUGCAGGCGUUAAUCGGAAUUACUGGGCGUAAAGCGUGCGCAGGCGGCUUCCUAAGUCAGAUGUGAAAUCCCCGGGCUUAACCUGGGAACUGCGUUUGAAACUGGGAGGCUAGAGUGCGGCAGAGGGAGGUGGAAUUCCACGUGUAGCAGUGAAAUGCGUAGAUAUGUGGAGGAACACCGAUGGCGAAGGCAGCCUCCUGGGCCAGCACUGACGCUCAUGCACGAAAGCGUGGGGAGCAAAC